UUUAAUGCGGCCCAUAGCACUCACUCACUGUACGGUCUCGAGUGCAGGGCAUAGAGCAGGUACAUGACUCAUUGAUGCAGCUUGUCCGGAGUGCAUUCUUAUCCACUCAGAGUAAUUGAAGCGAGCGACAAGUGCCCCCGCAGAGGUUACUUUACUCUCAAAUGCUCGGGUAGCUUGGGGCUGGAAGCAAAGCCGCACAUUCGACAAACUGUAGCUCUCGCAUCCGUCUGCAAAUAUAACCGUUUGAACUUCAUCAGAGACCUCACAUUCGUCGAUGAACAAUCUGGAAGGCAGUUCUCAGAUUUUAUAUUGCAUCCCGAAUAUUUCGUGGCUAGCGCCCCCAGCUGCUGAGACAAUGGUUCUGACAUCGCGAAGGAACAGCUCCGCAGCAAAGGUGAAGGCAGGAGAAUUCAAGCGCCAAAUCAGUCACCCUGUCAUUAUACCCGCAAGUGACGCGCAAUCCUGCGUUUUACCCUUCAACUCUGCUUUCACAUCAGCACAAGUAUCGAAAUCAACCUGUUCCACCCUGCCUAUGCAGAAGCAGAGGAACGCACCAAAUCAGCUGUUCGAAAUCAGAGCACGUUCAUCAACAAUGUCUGGACAUCCUCAUUACCACCAGCGUACAGCAUCGGCAAUAACCAGAGCAAGUACGACAGAUGAUGACAGUAGACCUUCCUCACCUGACAGUGCAAUUUGGACGGACAUGUCCAGCCCAGACAUCGCCUACACUCGUAGCAGGGACGAGAUGCAGACACCGACCAAUCUCGCACAGUCAGUCAGGGCACAGCAAAUCAGAGAGGUGUUUGCCGCGUCGCCAAUCAACUUUAGGACGCCGACUCCGUCCAGUGGGUUAACCCCACGUUCUUCUCGCACUUUAUCCAUGCAUCGUAGCAAUCCUAACAUCCACCGAAUCGACACUUCAAGUCUCUGUGAGACCCCUGUACCGCCAAAACGUCGCUCAUCAGUCAGCACGUCCCGCCUCAAUCGCGUAUCCAGCUGUCAUGGUCUGAAGCGAAACGCCAUUUCCACAAGCAAUAUGUCAUCGGAAGUUCACUUCCAAUGCUGGUUAGCUAGGCAACCCCACACCUGGUGCUAAACAUUUCUCUGUCAUAAACAAUGCGCAAAGCACGGAUUCAAGAUAACUAUCAUUUCGAGCAUCAUGGCAUGUCAUAUUCCCUUCAGUCCUCUAUUGUGAACGCCGUGUGGUCAACGUUGAGUUUAAGUUUGCUGAUAAAAUUUAUUUACUUCGCAUGUCGUUUUGUCAACAUUUGAGAUGAAAUUUACGAUCAGAGCUGGAACGUUUCACCGAUAAUUAACUUUAAUCAAUUUUGCAUUUCUUUGAAAUGUUUCUAAGAUCUUUGAAAUGAACUAUUUCACAACGACAAGACAAUCAAUAUUAAUCUAUUCCCUGCCAGCAGGGUCACAGUAA